rnacentral:rRNA from 1 species
GCCGGUGGACAAACCGGAGGAAGGUGGGGAUGACGUCAAGUCAUCAUGGCCCUUACGGCCUGGGCUACACACGUGCUACAAUGGUCGGUACAAAGGGUUGCCAAGCCGCGAGGUGGAGCUAAUCCCAUAAAACCGAUCGUAGUCCGGAUCGCAGUCUGCAACUCGACUGCGUGAAGUCGGAAUCGCUAGUAAUCGUGAAUCAGAAUGUCACGGUGAAUACGUUCCCGGGCCUU